GAUGAAGAACGUAGCGAAAUGCGAUAAUUAAUGUGAAUUGCAGAAUUCCGUGAAUCAUCGAGUCUUUGAACGCACAUUGCGCCUCAUGGCAUUCCGUGAGGCAUGCCCAUCUCAGCGUUAGAAAAUAUUCUCAAAUUUUAGUUUUGUGCUAAAAUUUGGAUCAUGUCAAGGAAGCUAUUACUAUUAUUGUGAUCGCUCUUUGGAAAUUGAUAGGUCUUUGAGUUGCUACUCAUAGAACGUGAUGAAUCUUUCUUCGUUCUAUUGUAAUUCACUCUGGUAGGCCUAAAACUUGUAUGCCUGUGGCAUAUCUUGUAAUUUGACCUGAGAUUGGGUAGGGAUACCCGCUGAACUUAAGCAUAUCAAUAAGCGGAGGA
rnacentral:misc_RNA from 1 species